rnacentral:tRNA from 1 species
GCUCCUAUCGUUUAGUGGUUUAGGACAGUGCUUUUUCGUAGCAUAAACGUGGGUUCAAAUCCCACUGGGAGUA